CAGUCGCCACGGUAAUACGUAGGGUGCGAGCGUUAAUCGGAAUUACUGGGCGUAAAGCGUGCGCAGGCGGUUCGUUAAGACAGAUGUGAAAUCCCCGGGCUUAACCUGGGAACUGCAUUUGUGACUGGCAAGCUAGAGUAUGGCAGAGGGGGGUGGAAUUCCGCGUGUAGCAGUGAAAUGCGUAGAUAUGCGGAGGAACACCGAUGGCGAAGGCAGCCCCCUGGGCCAAUACUGACGCUCAUGCACGAAAGCGUGGGGAGCAAACAGGAUUAGAUACCCCCGUAGUCCCUGUCUCUUAUAC
rnacentral:rRNA from 1 species